CCGGCCAGGCACGCGUGCCGGCAAACGGCCACUGGCAGUACAGGCCCUUUGGGUCUUGUAAUUGAAUGGGUGCAAUGUAAGUACCUUAACGAAUAACAAUUGGAGGGCAAGUCUGGUACCACCAGCCGCGGUAUCUCCAGCUCCAAGGCCGUAUAAAGCUGUUGCAGAUAAAAAGCUCGUAGUUGAAUUUCGGGAUGGCCCCAGGUGGCCCACUUCUCUGUGACUUCUUUCUGGGACCGCUCUUCCAUGGCUUAUCCAUUUUGGUGGGCCAUAAUUACUUUGAGUAAACGAGAGUGUUCAAAGCAGGCAAGCGCUUGAAUCUAUAAGCAUGGAAUAAUGAAAUAGGACGAUGACUCCAUGUUGGUUUCUAGGACCAUCGUUAUGAUCAGUUGGGACGGUCGGGGCAUUAGUAUUCAGUUGCAAGAGGUGAAAUUCUUAGACUUUCUGGAGACGAACUACUGCGAACGCACUUGUCAAGGACGUUAGUGGUGGGUGUGGGUUUAUUAG
rnacentral:ncRNA from 1 species